rnacentral:rRNA from 1 species
UACAGAGGGGCAAGCGUUAUUCGGAAUUAUUGGGCGUAAAGGGCGCGUAGGCGGCAUGGCAAGUGGAUGGUGAAAUCCCUCGGCUUAACCGAGGAACUGCCGUCCAAACUGCUUCGCUUGAGACCGGGAGAGGUGAGUGGAAUUCCCAGUGUAGCGGUGAAAUGCGUAGAUAUUGGGAGGAACACCAGUGGCGAAGGCGGCUCACUGGACCGGUACUGACGCUGAUGCGCGAAGCGUGGGAGCAACGGG